rnacentral:rRNA from 1 species
GACGAACGCUGGCGGCGUGCUUAACACAUGCAAGUCGAACGGAAAGGCCCUGCUUUUGUGGGGUGCUCGAGUGGCGAACGGGUGAGUAACACGUGAGUAACCUGCCCUUGACUUUGGGAUAACUUCAGGAAACUGGGGCUAAUACCGGAUAGGAGCUCCUGCUGCAUGGUGGGGGUUGGAAAGUUUCGGCGGUUGGGGAUGGACUCGCGGCUUAUCAGCUUGUUGGUGGGGUAGUGGCUUACCAAGGCUUUGACGGGUAGCCGGCCUGAGAGGGUGACCGGCCACAUUGGGACUGAGAUACGGCCCAGACUCCUACGGGAGGCAGCAGUGGGGAAUAUUGCACAAUGGGCGGAAGCCUGAUGCAGCAACGCCGCGUGCGGGAUGACGGCCUUCGGGUUGUAAACCGCUUUCGCCUGUGACGAAGCGUGAGUGACGGUAAUGGGUAAAGAAGCACCGGCUAACUACGUGCCAGCAGCCGCGGUGAUACGUAGGGUGCGAGCGUUGUCCGGAUUUAUUGGGCGUAAAGGGCUCGUAGGUGGUUGAUCGCGUCGGAAGUGUAAUCUUGGGGCUUAACCCUGAGCGUGCUUUCGAUACGGGUUGACUUGAGGAAGGUAGGGGAGAAUGGGAUUCCUGGUGGAGCGGUGGAAUGCGCAGAUAUCAGGAGGAACACCAGUGGCGAAGGCGGUUCUCUGGGCCUUUCCUGACGCUGAGGAGCGAAAGCGUGGGGAGCGAACAGGCUUAGAUACCCUGGUAGUCCACGCUGUAAACGGUGGGUACUAGGUGUGGGGUCCAUUCCACGGGUUCCGUGCCGUAGCUAACGCUUUAAGUACCCCGCCUGGGGAGUACGGCCGCAAGGCUAAAACUCAAAGGAAUUGACGGGGCCCCGCACAAGCGGCGGAGCAUGCGGAUUAAUUCGAUGCAACGCGUAGAACCUUACCUGGGUUUGACAUGGAUCGGGAGUGCUCAGAGAUGGGUGUGCCUCUUUUGGGGUCGGUUCACAGGUGGUGCAUGGCUGUCGUCAGCUCGUGUCGUGAGAUGUUGGGUUAAGUCCCGCAACGAGCGCAACCCUUGUUCACUGUUGCCAGCACGUUAUGGUGGGGACUCAGUGGAGACCGCCGGGGUCAACUCGGAGGAAGGUGGGGAUGACGUCAAGUCAUCAUGCCCCUUAUGUCCAGGGCUUCACGCAUGCUACAAUGGCUGGUACAGAGAGUGGCGAGCCUGUGAGGGUGAGCGAAUCUCGGAAAGCCGGUCUCAGUUCGGAUUGGGGUCUGCAACUCGACCUCAUGAAGUCGGAGUCGCUAGUAAUCGCAGAUCAGCAACGCUGCGGUGAAUACGUUCCCGGGGCU